AUAUUACUAAGCGGAGGAAAAGAAACUAACCAGGAUUCCCUCAGUAACGGCGAGUGAAGCGGGAAGAGCUCAGACUGAAAAUCUUCGGAAUUGUAGUCUGUAUGGGCUAAAUCAACCGUACGGAACAGUAAAGUCUCCUGGAAUGGAGCACCAAGGAGGGUGAUAGUCCCGUUCAUACUGUCGAGUAUUGUGUACGAUUGGCUUUAUAAGAGUCGAGUUGCUUGGGAUUGCAGCUCUAAGCGGGUGGUAAAUUCCAUCUAAAGCUAAAUAUUGGUGGGAGACCGAUAGCGCACAAGUA
rnacentral:rRNA from 1 species